GCCCUCUCAGAAUCAAACCUGGAGAGUUUUUAGUAGUCUACAAGUCUCGGCUACAAAAGGGAGUGGCAAGCAGAGGCAUACCCAUUCCAUUCCUAGCUUGGCCAGUGGCUAGCGAGUGGGAGGCACUCUGCUACAAGU